GGAAGUUAAGAAACUGUUUCUUAACUUUUAACCAAAAAAACUAAGAACCGGUUCUUAAAUAAGGACUUUAAGAACCAGUUUUUAGUCUUUUUAGUUAAAAGUUAAGAAAUAGUUUUUUAACUUCC
rfam:Brassica napus, WGS project CCCW01000000 data, contig: 6093